rnacentral:rRNA from 1 species
GCAUAUCAAUAAGCGGAGGAAAAGAAACUAACAAGGAUUCCCUUAGUAACGGCGAGUGAAGCGGGAAGAGCUCAAAUUUGAAAUCUUCAAGGUUCUACCUUGACGAAUUGUAGUUUAAAGAAGUGUUUUCUGUUAGAUGAGUAGCAAAAGUUCCUUGGAAUGGGACAUCAUAGAGGGUGAGAAUCCCGUAUUUGGUUAUUCAUUCUAGCUUUGUGAUACACUUUCAAAGAGUCGGAUUGUUUGGGAAUGCAGUCCAAAAUGGGUGGUAAAUUUCAUCUAAAGCUAAAUAUUGGCGAGAGACCGAUAGCGAACAAGUACCGUGAGGGGAAGAUGAAAAGAACUUUGAAAAGAGAGUUAAACAGUACGUGAAAUUGUCAAAAGGGAAGCGUUUGACACCAGUGUUGUUUUUCCGAAAAUCAAUUACGAAUGGCUUGAUUUUGUGUUGUAUUGACCUUAUCAGCUUUCUGCACUUUUUUCGAGUCUUUCUUAAUGCACUUUUUGGUUAACAAGUCAACAUCAAUUUCUUUUGUUGUAAAAGAGUAUUCGGAAGGUGGCUUUCUUUUCGGAGAAAGUGUUUAUAGCCCUAUACUUCUACAAUCGGAGAGAUUGAGGUCUGCAGCGUAGAUCCUUUGGGGUUAGAUACACUUGUGCUAAGUUGUAGCUUUUCAUAGACAACUUGUUGACUAUGUUUAGUCAUGCGGCUUACUCGCUUAUGCUAUUUUACCUACGCUUAGGAUGUUGACAAAAUGGUUUUAAACGACCCGUCUUGAAACACGGACC